rnacentral:rRNA from 1 species
GACAGAGGGUGCGAACGUUGUUCGGAAUUACUGGGCGUAAAGCGCAUGUAGGCGGCAGCGCAAGUCGGGCGUGAAAUCCCACGGCUCAACCGUGGAAGUGCACUCGAAACUGCGCAGCUAGAGUCCUGGAGAGGAAGGUGGAAUGCUUGGUGUAGAGGUGAAAUUCGUAGAUAUCAAGCGGAACACGGUGGCGAAGGCGGCCUACUGGACAGU